CCAGUAUUGUAUGUAUUAUUGUUAUCGACUUGUGUUCCUAAUAUGCAUUUGUCCCCCCGUUAAUAUACAUUGCCAUGUACUAUAUUAUGCGUUACGUGUUUAGUUUGUGUGUGUUUAAACAGAUGGACGCACGCCCGCUUCCAUUAAUUCUUUUACACAUACACACACGCCACCAGGGAACGUUUGCGCCAGAGCACGCCUCCUCCUUUCGCCGAACCGCCCCUUGGGGCGCAAGAUCAUUACCCAAUUUACAGGCGCGUGGUGGUGGAGG